rnacentral:rRNA from 1 species
CCCUUAGAUGUUCUGGGCUGCACGCGCGCUACACUGAUGCGCUCAACGAGUUUACGAACUUGCCCGGAAGGGUUGGUUAAUCUUUUUAAAACGCAUCGUGAUGGGGAUAGAUUAUUGCAAUUAUUAAUCUUCAACGAGGAAUUCCUAGUAAGCGCGAGUCAUCAGCUUGUGCUGAUUACGUCCCUGCCCUUUGUACACACCGCCCGUCGCUCCUACCGAUUGGGUGCUCCGGUGAAUUGUUUGGACUGCUGUCAGUCUUUUAGGCUGUUGGCGAGAAGCUCUGUGAACCUUAGCACCUAGAGGAAGGAGAAGUCGUAACA